AGCUGUGAUGAGUAAGAAAUAAUAUGACCUGGUAUUGCAAGAGUUAAAUCUGCAUUGACCAGUAAAUGAUCACGUAAUCUUCUCUCUGAGCUG